rnacentral:rRNA from 1 species
GAUGAACGCUGGCGGCGUGCUUAACACAUGCAAGUCGAACGGAAAGGCUCCUGCUUGCAGGGGUACUCGAGUGGCGAACGGGUGAGUAACACGUGGGUGAUCUGCCCUGCACUUCGGGAUAAGCCUGGGAAACUGGGUCUAAUACCGGAUAGGACGAUGGUUUGGAUGCCAUUGUGGAAAGUUUUUCGGUGUGGGAUGAGCUCGCGGCCUAUCAGCUUGUUGGUGGGGUAAUGGCCUACCAAGGCGUCGACGGGUAGCCGGCCUGAGAGGGUGUACGGCCACAUUGGGACUGAGAUACGGCCCAG